AGGGCACCACCAGGAGUGGAGCCUGCGGCUUAAUUUGACUCAACACGGGAAAACUCACCCGGCCCGGACACUGGAAGGAUUGACAGAUUGAGAGCUCUUUCUUGAUUCAGUGGGUGGUGGUGCAUGGCCGUUCUUAGUUGGUGGAGUGAUUUGUCUGGUUAAUUCCGAUAACGAACGAGACUCUAGCCUAUUAAAUAGAUCGUUGGCUUACAAACGCCGGCGAGACUUCUUAGAGGGACAGGCGGCGAUUCAGCCGCACGAAACAGAGCAAUAACAGGUCUGUGAUGCCCUUAGAUGUCCGGGGCCGCACGCGCGCUACACUGAAGUGAUCAGCGUGCAUUUUGAAACCUACUCUGUCAAGAGUGGGGAACCCAAUGAACCUUCUUCGUGAUUGGGAUAGGGGGUUGUAAUUAUUCCCCUUGAACGAGGAAUUCCCAGUAAGCGCGAAUCAUAAGUUUGCGCUGAUUACGUCCCUGCCCUUUGUACACACCGCCCGUCGCUACUACCGAUUGAAUGUUU
rnacentral:rRNA from 1 species